CCAGAACUGUCCUUUUCUUCACUGGCCCUGGCGCCGCUGAUCUUCCAAAGCUUCUCUCUCAUGACACCUCUUGGAAGUUUUCCGACUUAGACCCGUAGAGAAUUGGAGAACUAUGGACCCUCUCUCUAGAAAAAUGCUCACCCACACAGAAGCAGAGUUUUGCAUGGUAUUGCAGGGCGUUUUGAAACUUCUCAAGUGUCAAGACCGCCAACUUCAGACCUCUACAGGUGCCUGCGGGAGUCCCACACAGCCAAUGAAGACCCACCUGACAGCAAUCCCUGGAUGCUCUGGAAAAGAAAUUGGGCCAUACCUCCUAGACUGCACUGGAUCCAACUUACUCCAUUUCAACUGACACUCCAACUAGAGCUUCGAGUCCUGACUUCAAUCAAGUUGAGGAUUUCAACCUAGAUCUUCAGUCAAACAAAUCCCGUCUAACAUGGACUGGAUAUAAUCCGUUGGAGACUUUCACUAUACUAACAUUUUCUUCCCAUAGGACCCCACAAGGCUACCAUCGUCCCAUUUCAGCAGGAAGUAAAUUGUAGGAUGCUACACCCCUGUUCCCCAUUAUUGUCUAUUAGGGUAGUGUAAGCCUAGUUAGGAAUAACUUUCCUAUUGUUUAGGGUUGGAAUUGGAAGGAGGUGUUCAAGUUCAGAUGACUUUAGGGUUUAGCUGAAAUAGACAUAGUUAGGAUGUGCAAUAACAGAUUAUUGUAUCUUCUUGUAUUUCACCUUUAUGAUUGUUAAUUUUGGAUAUUUUACACUAUUAAGUUUUAAUCCCCUUUUAGACUAAAAGGGGAAUUAUAGGGCGACACCGUAGCCACACUUCCUAAGGGCUGGCUACAGGUGUGCCUGACCACGCCUAUCAAGGCAUGGUCAAGGUGAGGUCAGGGUGACGUGGGAGGGCUUCUUAAGCAACCACAAGCCCACGGAACCAGCUCGUCCCCUUCGGCUGCCCCUUCUCUCUGGCCUCCCUGCCUUGCUGCCCCUGGGUACACUCUGGCUUGCAUUUAAC
rnacentral:lncRNA from 1 species